GGUGGCGAAGGCGGCCCCCUGGACGAAGACUGACGCUCAGGUGCGAAAGCGUGGGGAGCAAACAGGAUUAGAUACCCUGGUAGUCCACGCCGUAAACGAUGUCGACUUGGAGGUUGUGCCCUUGAGGCGUGGCUUCCGGAGCUAACGCGUUAAGUCGACCGCCUGGGGAGUACGGCCGCAAGGUUAAAACUCAAAUGAAUUGACGGGGGCCCGCACAAGCGGUGGAGCAUGUGGUUUAAUUCGAUGCAACGCGAA
rnacentral:rRNA from 1 species